UGAAUGGUGUUGUGUUUUUGUGUCCCAUGGAUGUGCCACCUGUGAGGUUGAAGCUGAGGCUGGCUCUUUUGGAGAUGGAACAGCAAAAGAGUCUCCAUUCAUCUAAAAUCAGACGAAUGGAGAUGGACCAAGAGGUGAGACUCUGACAGCUGGAGCUGGAGGUGGGCUUCAGUGCAUCGUCUCAACCUACCCAUCAGCAGGCCCAGUUUGAGUGUCCCAGUGGAGAGCAGCGGUAGUGUCUGCCGUCUACUUUAUGAUCUUUGGCACUAAUACCAGGGAAGUGGUGUUUAGAUGCAGUGCAGAGGGGGAGAUGACAUCAUAAAUUAUGAACAUGAUGGAGUUCAACCUAGCUGUCAGUGGAGCCAACGCCUCUGCCUCUCCUCUUUCUCUACUACUCCUUCUGUAUCUUAGGGUGUCUUGGGAUUGAUGCCUGGAGCCACGACGAGAAGGAAAGGACAUG